rnacentral:rRNA from 1 species
UUUUCCUCUGCUGGUGUGUGGUACUAUCUGCGAAGAUCAUUGCUAUUGGGGUCCGAUUUAGCCAUGCUAGUUGCACGAGUUCAUACUCGUGGCGAAAAGCUCAGUAACACGUGGCCAACCUACCCUACAGAGAACGAUAACCUCGGGAAACUGAGGCUAAUAGUUCAUACGGGAGUCAUGCUGGAAUGCCGACUCCCCGAAACGCUCAGGCGCUGUAGGAUGUGGCUGCGGCCGAUUAGGUAGACGGUGGGGUAACGGCCCACCGUGCCGAUAAUCGGUACGGGUUGUGAGAGCAAGAGCCCGGAGACGGAAUCUGAGACAAGAUUCCGGGCCCUACGGGGCGCAGCAGGCGCGAAACCUUUACACUGCACGCAAGUGCGAUAAGGGGACCCCAAGUGCGAGGGCAUAUAGUCCUCGCUUUUCACGACUGUAAGGCGGUCGUGGAAUAAGAGCUGGGCAAGACCGGUGCCAGCCGCCGCGGUAAUACCGGCAGCUCAAGUGAUGACCGAUAUUAUUGGGCCUAAAGCGUCCGUAGCCGGCCACGAAGGUUCAUCGGGAAAUCCGCCAGCUCAACUGGCGGGCGUCCGGUGAAAACCACGUGGCUUGGGACCGGAAGGCUCGAGGGGUACGUCCGGGGUAGGAGUGAAAUCCCGUAAUCCUGGACGGACCACCGAUGGCGAAAGCACCUCGAGAAGACGGAUCCGACGGUGAGGGACGAAAGCUAGGGUCUCGAACCGGAUUAGAUACCCGGGUAGUCCUAGCUGUAAACGAUGCUCGCUAGGUGUGACACAGGCUACGAGUCUUGUGUUGUGCCGUAGGGAAAGCCAGAGAAGCGAGCCGCCUGGGAAGUACGUCCGCAAGGAUGAAACUUGAAAGGAAUUGGCGGGGGGAGCACUACAACCGGAGCGAGCCUUGCUGUUUAAUGAUCACACCCCCCCCGCGGAAA